rnacentral:rRNA from 1 species
AAAGUUGGGGAGACCUGACGCUGAAAGAUGGACUCGCGUCCCAUUAGCUAGUUGGUAGGGUAAUGGCCUACCAAGGCGACGAUGGGUAGCCGGCCUGAGAGGGUGGCCGGCCACACUGGGACUGAGACACGGCCCAGACUCCUACGGGAGGCAGCAGUGGGGAAUUUUGCGCAAUGCUCGUAAGAGUGACGCAGCGACGCCGCGUGAAUGACGAAGGCCUUCGGGUCGUAAAGUUCUUUCGACAGGGAAGAAAAUGCCUAUAAGUAACUGUGUAUGUAUUGACGGUACCUGUAUAAGCAGCCCCGGCUAACUCCGUGCCAGCAGCCGCGGUAAUACGGAGGGGGCGAGCGUUGUUCGGAGUGACUGGGCGUAAAGAGCACGUAGGCGGUGUUGUAAGUCAUUAGUCAAAGACUAGAGCUCAACUUUAGUAAGGCUAGUGAUACUAUAAUACUAGAGUAUCAGAGAGGAUUGCAGAAUUCCUGGUGUAGCGGUGAAAUGCGAAGAUAUCAGGAGGAAUACCGUUAGCGAAGGCGGCAAUCUGGCUGGAAACUGACGCUGAGGUGCGAAAGCGUGGGUAGCAAACAGGAUUAGAUACCCUGGUAGUCCACGCUGUAAGCGAUGGAUACUAGGUGUUGGGCUUUUAAGUUCA